rnacentral:rRNA from 1 species
CCUACGUGAGGCUGCAGUGAGGAAUAUUGGUCAAUGGACGAGAGUCUGAACCAGCCAAGUAGCGUGAAUGAUGACUGCCCUAUGGGUUGUAAACUUCUUUUAUAUGGGAAUAAAAUGUUCCACGUGUGGGCUUUUGUAUGUACCCUAUGAAUAAGGAUCGGCUAACUCCGUUCCAGCAGCCGCGUUAAUACGGCGGCUCCGAGCGUUAUCCGGAUUUAUUGGGUUUAAAGGGAGCGUAGGUGGAUUGUUAAGUCAGUUGUGAAAGUUUGCGGCUCAACCGUAAAAUUGCAGUUGAAACUGGAAGUCUGGAUUACAGUAGAGGGGGGCGGAAUGCGUGGUGUAGCGGUGAAAUGCUUAGAUAGCACGAAGAACUCCGAUUGCGAAGGCAGUUCACUGGACUGCAACUGACACUGAGGCUCGAAAGUGUGGGUAUCAAACAGGAUUAGAUACCCUAGUAGUC